CUGAUGCAGCCAUGCCGCGUGAAUGAUGAAGGCCUUAGGGUUGUAAAAUUCUUUCGCUAGGGAUGAUAAUGACAGUACCUAGUAAAGAAGCCCCGGCUAACUUCGUGCCAGCAGCCGCGGUAAUACGAAGGGGGCUAGCGUUGUUCGGAAUUACUGGGCGUAAAGCGCACGUAGGCGGACUAUUAAGUCAGGGGUGAAAUCCCGGGGCUCAACCCCGGAACUGCCUUCAAAACUCCUGGUCUAGAGUUCGAGAGAGGUG
rnacentral:rRNA from 1 species